rnacentral:tRNA from 1 species
ACCUGGGUGGCUCAGCGGGUUAAGCAUCUGACUUCGGCUCAGGUCAUGAUCUCACGGUUGGUGGGUUCGAGCCCCUCAUCGGGUU